UUACAYCGGCGACAAUCUGAUGACUGUGCACUGGUUGCUUGGGGCCCUCGUGGUCCCCUGUGACAUCGGUCCGGAUAUUCACCUCAACUGGGUGGCUAAUACAUGGAAGCUCAGAGCUGUGGCCCGUUCAGGGUCACUGGCAGUUGGCCGAUAUCAAGACCUGCGCCCGUACAGGGCAGCGUGCAAGGGUGAUUCAGGCCGUUUUCUGUGAUGGCAAAGAUGGUUCUACCAUGAAUGCUCCACAGUGUGAGUCUCUGACCUAUCAGCUCUGGUUGGUGGUGUAGUGGACCACCAUGGCUAUCACGGGUAACGGGAAAUCAGGGUUUGAUUCCGGAGAGGGAGCCUAAGAAACGGCUACCAUUGCCAAGGCGAGCAGCAGGCGCGCAAAUUGUCCACUGCCGACACUGGUCUGGCGAGACAGCGACGAGCCAUAGCAGCCCUGCUCACCCUGUGUGGUGGGUGGGACUCCGCAAUGAAUGCUAUCCAAACGCAGCAAUGAGUAUCAACUGGAGGGCAAGUCUGGUGCCAGCAGCUGCGGUAAUUCCAGCUCCAAGAGCGUAUACAAAUGUUGCUGCUGUUGAAAAGCUCGUAGUCAACCCCUGGGCAUGGGGCUGCAGGGCGUCCGGCCGCUCUGCUGGGGCUGUCUCCCGGCCGUCAGGCCGGGUGGCGGCCUCCGUGGAUGCGCUGCUGGAUUCAAACCCCCUGCAGAUGGUCCCCGUGCCCGCUUUGCAUGGGUUCGGACCGCUCCGGCAAGAAGCCUCCUUCAGUGGUGGCUGAUGCGGUCAUGCCUCUGACAUGGGCGCGGGUCACUUGCGACCCGACCUCGGAGCCGUCCAUGGAUGCCACUGUGAACAACUCAGCGCGUCCAAAGCAAACGUGACUUGAUUGCAUGAUUCAGCGCGGGAUGGCAAAGGAUCGACCAUAUGUGGACACAGCUGUUCUGCUGAGUCUCAGGGUCCGCAAAGGGCAACGCAGUGCUGGUGCCCCCAGAUGGCCGGAGGCUAUCCGCUCCGGCGGUGGCCUUCACCGGGCAGCUGGGCGGUGCUGGCUCUGAACGGCAGUGAUGGGUCUGUUCGUCGUGAUGGAUAUUGACACGCCAGAGGUGAAAUUCUCAGACCGCUGUGGGAUCAACUGCGGCAAAGGCGUUCCACUGGAGCAUGUUCGUCGAUCAAGAACGAGAGUGUGGGGAGCGAAGAUGAUCAGAUACCAUCGUAGUCUACCGCUGUAAACUAUGUCAGCUCGGUGUCGGUGGGCCAUAAUCUCCUCAACAGGAUGCCAUCGGUUUCACUCCUCUGCAGCGAGAAAUCAAAGCUUACGGAUUCAGGGGGGAGUACGGUCUCAAGGCUGAAACUUAAAGGAAUUGAUGGAAUGGCACCACAAGGCGUGGAGUAUGCGGCUUAAUUUGACUCAACACGGGGAAUGUUACCAGGUCAGGACGCAGUCGGGAUUGACAGAUUGAGGGUUCUUUCUUGAUCCUCUGGACGGUGGUGCAUGGCCGCUCCUGAUUGGUGGAGUGAUUUGUCUGGUUGAUUCCGAUAACGAGUGAGACCUCUGCCUCUGAAUAGUCCCCGGUCUCGCAUUCAUGUAGGACGGAACACCUGACCCGUGGGUCGGCUUGCCGGUCCCACCGGGGCUCGUGGAUUACCCGUCUGAGAGUGCCGGGUAUGCUGCUUCUCUCGGGUGCCGUGCAUGUUUACCAAGUGCACGCAAGCCAGAGCCAACAGCAGGUCUGUGAUGCUCCUAGAUGUUCUGGGCCGCACGCGCACUACACUGGUCCAGUGAACAAGCCUUGGUGUCCCAUCCAUGGGACCGUCCUGCCCAGAAGUGGGCGGGCAACCUUUGCAGCUGUGAAUGCGUGUUUGGGAUUGAUGCUUGCAACUAUCUGUCAUGAACAAGGAAUGCCUGGUAUGUGCACGUCAUCAGCUUGCACAGAUUAUGUCCCUGCC
rnacentral:rRNA from 1 species